rnacentral:rRNA from 1 species
CACGGCCCCAGACUCCUACGGGAGGCAGCAGUGGGGAAUUUUGGACAAUGGGUGAAAGCCCUGAUCCAGCAAUGCCGCGUGUGUGAAGAAGGCCUUCGGGUUGUAAAGCACUUUUGUCCCGGAAAGAAAACCUCGUGGUUAAUACCCGUGGGGGAUGACGGUACCCGGAAGAAUAAGCACCGGCUAACUACGUGCCAGCAGCCGCGGUAAUACGUAGGGUGCAAGCGUUAAUCGGAAUUACUGGGCGUAAAGCGUGCGCAGGCGGUUCGCUAAGACAGAUGUGAAAUCCCCGGGCUUAACCUGGGAACUGCAUUUGUGACUGGCGGGCUAGAGUAUGGCAGAGGGGGGUAGAAUUCCACGUGUAGCAGUGAAAUGCGUAGAGAUGUGGAGGAAUACCGAUGGCGAAGGCAGCCCCCUGGGCCAAUACUGACGCUCAUGCACGAAAGCGUGGGGAGCAAACAGGAUUAGAUACCCUGGUAGUCCACGCCCUAAACGAUGUCAACUAGUUGUUGGGGAUUCAUUUCCUUAGUAACGUAGCUAACGCGUGAAGUUGACCGCCUGGGGAGUACGGUCGCAAGAUUAAAACUCAAAGGAAUUGACGGGGACCCGCACAAGCGGUGGAUGAUGUGGAUUAAUUCGAUGCAACGCGAAAAACCUUACCUACCCUUGACAUGUAUGGAAC